ACUUCUGUCUCCUGGAUGAUGGGGGCUGCUGCACAUCCAGUACAGGAAAGACACAUAUUGAAAGACAGCAAGUACUUCCAGGAACUGACAGAUGCAAAGAGAAGCACCUUGCUCACUUUCCUCUCUGCACUGGCUGUCUGGAUAUCCCAGUUGGAGGAGGAGGUACAGCUGGCCAACUGGCAAGAGAGAUCUGCCUUUCAUCAACCUCGAGCAUGGGAAAAGUCCCCCUGCUAACAAAAUAGCUUCCUGAAGAUCUAUUUUAGAGUGACUUUAGCAACAGCUGCCUCAAUCAGGAUGAAUAUGGUCUCUGACGUGAACAAGCACUGUCUCUUUGUAAUAAGUGUGGGUUAGACUCUCCCCAUCCUCAUUCUCUAAUAAAAAUUGAAUAGAACUGUGUAGAUAAAAAUAAUUCUGUGAUUGAAAUGGAGCGCAAACAUAAGGACUGAGCUUCUUGAAAAGUACUAAGUUGUUACUAUUUGCACUACAGUUCAGAUAAAAGGCUGAAUGUCAACUGCCCAACAACUUUUGGUCUGAUCCUGCAGUUCUCAUUUUCCCAAAAUCCUCUAAGGGGAGGAGGGACUGCAUGAGCAGGUUUAACAAAUAGUUACAAUGGCAUUAUCUAUAGAGGAGCUGCAAGGAUCAUGCUUUUUUUUAAUUCUUGUUCCUUAAGUUAUUCAUACCAUUAUCUAGUACAACCACCUACUAUAUACUAUAUUACUGUAGAGCUUGCUCUGGAAAAGACUUUUCACUUCUCUUAAAGUUUUCUUGGAAGACC